rnacentral:lncRNA from 1 species
UCUAGUUGAAGAAAAAACUCCACGGUACUUCAGUCCUUGAGACAAUGGCUUUUCUAUUUUUCUAAACCACUCUGAUUCCUUGUCCAAAAACUACCACACCCUUAGUGCUUGAAUAAAAUCAACUCAAAAGAGCAGAAACCAUACAUCUCCAACUCAUUGCCUGCUAUUACAUUUGAGUCAUUCAACAAUUGCCUAUUCUUGCACAUGAUGCCUCUAGUUUUUUUCCUGCUAUUUCAUGUAAAAUACCCCAUUCAACCCGG